rnacentral:rRNA from 1 species
GACGAACCGUGCGAACGUUAUUCGGAAUCAUUGGGCUUAAAGGGUGCGUAGGCGGGCUCGUGAGUCGGGGGUGAAAUCCCACGGCCCAACCGUGGAAGUGCCUCUGAUACCGCGGGCCUCGAGGGGGAUAGGGGCGUGCGGAACUUCCGGUGGAGCGGUGAAAUGCGUAGAUAUCGGGAGGAACACCUGUGGCGAAAGCGGCGCACUGGACCAUAACUGACGCUGAUGCGCGAAAGCUAGGGGAGCAAACAGG